rnacentral:rRNA from 1 species
GUAGUCCUGGCUGUAAACGAUGGGUACUAGGUGUGGGAGGUUCGACCCCUUCCGUGCCGCAGCUAACGCAUUAAGUACCCCGCCUGGGGAGUACGGCCGCAAGGUUGAAACUCAAAGGAAUUGACGGGGGCCCGCACAAGCGGUGGAGCAUGUGGUUUAAUUCGAUGCAACGCGAGGAACCUUACCAGGGCUUGACAUUGUGGUGGUAGGAGCCCGAAAGGGUGACGACCCCUGGUUUCCAGGGGAGCCACAACAGGUGCUGCAUGGUUGUCGUCAGCUCGUGUCGUGAGAUGUUGGGUUAAGUCCCGCAACGAGCGCAACCCUUGCCCUUAGUUGCUACCGGGGAAACCCGGGCACUCUAAGGGGACUGCCAGCGACAAGCUGGAGGAAGGUGGGGAUGACGUCAAAUCCUCAUGGCCCUGAUGCCCUGGGCUACACACGUGCUACAAUGGCCGGUACAGAGGGUCGCGAACCCGCGAGGGGGAGCCAAUCCCAGAAAGCCGGCCUCAGUUGGGAUUGCAGGCUGCAACCCGCCUGCAUGAACGCGGAAUCGCUAGUAAUCGCGCAUCAGCCACGGCGCGGUGAAUACGUUCCCGGGCCUUGUACACACCGCCCGUCACACCACGAAAGUCGACUUCACCUGAAGUCGCUGGGCUAACCCUCGAUGAGAGGGAGGCAGGCGCCGAGGGUGGGGUUGAUGAUUGGGGUGAAGUCGUAACAAGGUAGCCGUAGGGGAACCUGCGGCUGGAUCACCUCC